rnacentral:tRNA from 1 species
GCCACCGUAGCUCAGUCGGCAGAGCAGCGGUUUUGUAAACCGCAGGUCCUCGGUUCGAGUCCGAGCGGUGGCU